rnacentral:misc_RNA from 1 species
GUAGGUGAACCUGCGGAAGGAUCAUUACCAUAUCCAAAACUUUACCAACCCACCGUGUGAACUGUUGUGUUGGGCGGUUGCCUUCGGCAACAGCCCGACAUCCUAUUUUACCAACCGAGAUUUUUUCUCGUGUGGUUGGUGAAAUGGCAACAACCCCUUUGUGAAACCAACCUAGAAAACCUGACUUUGUGGGGCCUUUGCUAAACAAGGGUCGCACGAUUUGAAAACGAAAACCAAUAGACAACUUACAACGGUGGAUCUCUUGGCUCGU